rnacentral:rRNA from 1 species
CUACGGGUCGCAGCAGUGAGGAAUAUUGGUCAAUGGGCGAGAGCCUGAACCAGCCAUCCCGCGUGCAGGAUGACGGCCCUAUGGGUUGUAAACUGCUUUUCCAUACCAAGAAACCUGAUUACGUGUAAUUAGUUGCCGGUAGUAUGGGAAUAAGCAUCGGCUAACUCCGUGCCAGCAGCUGCGGUAAUACGGAGGAUGCAAGCGUUAUCCGGAUUCAUUGGGUUUAAAGGGUGCGCAGGUGGGCUUGUAAGUCAGUGGUGAAAUGUUGCCGCUUAACGGUAAAAUUGCCAUUGAUACUGCAAGUCUUGAAUAUAGUUGAGGUAGGCGGAAUGUGUUAUGUAGCGGUGAAAUGCAUAGAUAUGACACAGAACACCGAUUGCGAAGGCAGCUUACUAAGCUAUUAUUGACGCUGAGGCACGAAAGCGUGGGGAUCGAACAGGAUUAGAUACCCCAGUAGUC